UACGUAGGGUGCAGGCGUUAAUCGGAAUUACUGGGCGUAAAGCGUACGCAGGCGGCUUUGCAAGACAGGUGUGAAAUCCCCGGGCUUAACCUGGGAACUGCAUUUGUGACUGCAGGGCUGGAGUGCGGCAGAGGGGGAUGGAAUUCCGCGUGUAGCAGUGAAAUGCGUAGAUAUGCGGAGGAACACCGAUGGCGAAGGCAAUCCCCUGGGCCUGCACUGACGCUCAUGCACGAAAGCGUGGGGAGCAAACAGG
rnacentral:rRNA from 1 species